GGAGAGAUGCCAGAGCGGUCGAAUGGGGCGGUCUCGAAAACCGUUGUCCGAGCAAUUGGACCCAGGGUUCGAAUCCCUGUCUCUCCG
rnacentral:tRNA from 1 species